rnacentral:rRNA from 1 species
AGGACGAACGCUGGCGGCGUGCUUAACACAUGCAAGUCGAGCGGAAAGGCCCUUCGGGGUACUCGAGCGGCGAACGGGUGAGUAACACGUGAGUAACCUGCCCCUAGCUCUGGGAUAGCUCCGGGAAACCGGGAUUAAUACCAGAUACGACCACUUUAGACAUCUGUCGUGGUGGAAAGGAUUCCGGCUAGGGAUGGACUCGCGGCCUAUCAGCUAGUUGGUGGGGUAAAGGCCUACCAAGGCGACGACGGGUA